CUUGACGACCAUAGAACAUUGGAACCACCUGAUCCCAUCCCGAACUCAGAAGUGAAACGAUGUAUCGCCGAUGGUAGUGUGGGGUUUCCCCAUGUGAGAGUAGGUCAUCGUCAAGA
rnacentral:rRNA from 12 species